AACCAUUCUCACCUGCGGCUAGACCUGCGGAAGGAUCAUUAUCGAGUGUAACCUACCCCGUAAAAAAGGGUGGUACCUCCCGUCCUUUGCAGGCCCCCCCUUUUGAUGGGGGGCUUUUUAAGACUUUCUGCUUCGGCGGGGUUACUCCCGCCGGAACACCCUCAAAAAAAUCCUGAUUAAAAACCGUUCAGUCCGAGAAUUUUUGAAAAUUAAAAACUUUCAACAACGGAUCUCAGAUCG
rnacentral:misc_RNA from 1 species